rnacentral:rRNA from 1 species
CACAGGGAUUGCCUUAGUAACGGCGAGUGAAGCGGCAACAGCUCAAAUUUGAAAUCUGGCCUUUGGUCCGAGUUGUAAUUUGCAGAGGAUGCUUCGGGCGCGGUGCCUUCCAAGUCCCCUGGAACGGGGCGCCGGAGAGGGUGAGAGCCCCGUACGGUUGGCGGCCAAGCCUGUGUGAAGCUCCUUCGACGAGUCGAGUAGUUUGGGAAUGCUGCUCUAAGCGGGAGGUAGACCCCUUCUAAAGCUAAAUACCGGCCAGAGACCGAUAGCGCACAAGUAGAGUGAUCGAAAGAUGAAAAGCACUUUGAAAAGAGGGUUAAACAGCACGUGAAAUUGUUGAAAGGGAAGCGCUUGUGACCAGACGUGCGCCGGGGUGUUCAGCGGGCGUUCUCGCCCGUGCACUCGCCUCGGUGCAGGCCAGCGUCGGUUUGGGUGGGGGGAUAAAGGCGUCUGGAAUGUGGCUCCUCCGGGAGUGUUAUAGCCAGACGUGCCAUGCCUCCGCCUGGACCGAGGUACGCGUUCUGCAAGGACGCUGGCGUAAUGGUCUCCAGCGACCCGUCUUGAAACACGGACCAAGGAGUCGAGGUUUUGCGCGAGUGUUUGGGUGAAAAACCCGCACGCGUAAUGAAAGUGAACGUAGGUGAGAGCUUCGGCGCAUCACCGACCGAUCCUGAUGUUUUCGGAUGGAUUUGAGUAAGAGCGUAGGGCCUCGGACCCGAAAGAUGGUGAACUAUGCUUGGAUAGGGUGAAGCCAGAGGAAACUCUGGUGGAGGCUCGCAGCGGUUCUGACGUGCAAAUCGAUCGUCAAAUCUGAGCAUGGGGGCGAAAGACUAAUCGAACCAUCUAGUAGCUGGUUACCGCCGAG